UUUUUCGAAUAGUUUUUCAACAUUUUGUUGGACCAAGCCCAUAAAAUGUCCUGAAAACUGAGUCUGCGUUAGAAGAAUGGGUUUGUGGGUGGUCAGUCUGUCUGUGGUUGUAAGUUGCUUAUUGUUUUGUUUAAAGGCAGAUGUACGUGUUAAUGUUUGUGGCUAAAAGGAGAAUAAGGACCGUCUCUGCACGAUUCGUGAUACAGUUUAUCAGAUCAGUACUGAAAAUUAGACGACAGUUCAAUAUUUCCUUUGAAGAGGAAUGUUUUUAAGCGCUGCGAUAUUUUACCACAGUUGACGCGCUAGACUUGACUUUCUAGAUAAACAUGUGCACUUGAGAUAAAUAUAAAUAUUUAAUAAUGAACAUAAAACCAGUCAGCCGUAAUCGUUCAUAACCUAAAUAAUGUGAUUUUAUUUACUGCUCGACUAUGUCAAAACACCUUUUUCGCUGUAGCAAGAUUUUACAAAUUAAAAACAUGAAUAGGCAAGAACGGGGGCAGACUGGCCAUAGGGAGAACCGGGACAUUUCCCCUACCAGCACUUUUCGGCCGGUUUAAAUAUCAAAUACAGAUUGCUCUUCCCAGUCCGCCUCUGGGCUAGAAGAUACUGAAAUAUCAAACUACUGAUCAUGUCAAACAGUGGUGUACAAUAAUGUGAUAAUGUUAUUGUGUAAGAAUAUUGGGUUACACUUUACCCAGUACUAUUGUGUUCUUAGGCUUGGAAUGUCAGGCUUUUGUUACAACAAAUGUCUAUAGGGAUUUUAUCUUUUUGAGGAUCUCAAAUAUUCACAAAACUUCUGAUUUUAUUAUAAAUCCCAGUGCUGUACAUCUAUUCAACAUCUGCACCACAUGUCUUUCCUUAAAGGUGCUAUAUGUAAUAUUUUUACUGUACUAAAUCAUAAAAUUAGGAGAAUUAGGAAACAUGCUAAGUUGAAAUACUGGCUUCUCCGAUAACAAUGCUACAGCCAGUAUACUAUACUUUGAAGUUUCCAUUCCGGCCCGAAUUUCUGUUUAUGUUUAGCCUGUGUGAUCCCGCCCACUGUCCACUCACCAAUAGUAUUUCGACACCGCUAGGUUGCCAGAUUUUAACAAGUUAGGCAAACAACACGGCCUGCUGCAGCCAUGGAAGCCAGCAAAUGAACUGGAUCAAAGAUAACAGAUUCCACCCGACCUAAAAAGCCUCACCAUCCAUCUAAAAACCACAAUUACCAGAGGCGUAGUAAAACAAGGAUAAAUAUUGGAGAUGCUUUUGGAAGAUGGAGACAGCUUAAAGCCCAGAAAUCCUUUAAAACGGAUGCUGAGUUGGCUAAUUUGCGUGUCAACAUUCUGGAAACCCGCAAGAGCUUUGAGUCUGGGGCGGGGCAGACAACUCUCCAGUAUUUUGAAUUUGGACUUCAGUACCCAUUUCAAAUGCUUGUUGUCAAUCUUACAUAUAGCACCUUUAACCAUUGUUAGGCAGUCCACAUCUACACUGAAACAUGUUUGAGAUUGAGAAAAUAAUUAUAUUGCGUAAAGUCCAUGUGCUAUUCAACACAGCCAUCAAAAAGUGAUAUGAUCACAUUUCAAUGAAAUGUUUACAUGGAUUCAGAUUUGUGACAGAUGGUGUUCACUCAACUGGAUUUUUACUGCUUGCUCAAUUCGCUUAUUUAAAAUGAGCUAAUGCAACACAAAUCAUUAGCAUUUGGUCUCUACUUAAUUUCAUCAUGUAAAAUCCAUCUAUGUUCACUUAAUCCAAUUGUGUUGGGACUAUGUGAAUAAUAUUUGUUGCAUUAAUGUAUUGCUGAAACCAGACAGGAGAUUUCCAGUUCCCAGCAUGCUUUGUAUGGGACUGGAUCGGGAGAGUAAAUUAAGUGUUAUUUUAAUGUAUUUCUAUGCAAAAUGAAAUAGUAGGAGAAGUGUUUAAAGUUUUGUUAUGUUGGGAUUUAGAGGAGUUUCUGUUAUGUUAAUGUUUUUUUGGAGGUUGCCAUUGUGGAGAAGAGUGGAGAUAAUGGUUAGGUUCAGUACUAUUGAAUAAAAUUUGUUUAGCUUUUUUCAAUAAGUAAAUACUGAGGGAUCUUCAGUAUAAUGACUAAUUGGGGAUCUGUACACUCUCAGCAACACCAUACUAGUUAUAAAGUUAAAAAAAUAUAUAUAUCGGUUUAUAAUAUGCUAAUGUGUUUGUUGAUAGCUAGCAACAAGCUGCAAGGUUCAAUGGAGUUAUUUGAACAGAUCAGAUUUAAGUAAGGUUAACUCAAUUCAUUUAGGGUUUUGCUACACAAAGUAUUUGAGUCGAGCCUACAUUUUAAUUUAAUAUCAAAAGAAAUGUAUUUUCAUAGUGUGGAACCAAUGUUCACAAUUGAAUUAAGUGAAAUCAUCGAUUUCUUUUUUCAGUGUAACUGAGCUAAAUGGCAGGGUCCAAAAUUUUAAAGGAAGUCCUGAUUUGUUAAACUUAAAGGACUUAACUUUUUAAAGAUUUUGAAAAAUGUGAAACAAAGAAAAGUUUAUGAGCGAAAUGAAAGAUUUUACACUAUUUCCAGGUAAGUAAUCAAUUAUACACACAAGUGAAACUUUGGCCGUGUUAACCCCUUUGUAUAAGGUCAGAUUUCCUUUUUUCCUUUGCAGCACACAAGAUGCCCUUUAUAUUCUCAAAUUCUUAUAUAUUCUUAUAUUAUGUAUUAAAUUAGGGAAUAAUGUAAAAUGGAAACAUUUUUACUUGUGGAUAAUGUUUUUUGAUUAUGAUCUUUGGCAUUAUUAUGAUCUAUAACAAUGUUGUCUCACUCUCUGUGCAAAUAUUGUUUUCUGAUGUCUUAUACCUGCCUACUAUCUGUCUCAGAGUACAGAAUGGGGAAAGCAAGAUGAGCGUCUGAUGAAAGCAGUGGAAAAUGGAGAUAUAGACAAAGUCACAGCCAUACUCAAAAAAGGAGCCAACCCCACCAGACUAGACCCAGAGGGCCAUUCUGCGAGAAACAAGUGUUCACAGAACAUUACAGUGAGACAGAAUAUAAAACAAGGUUUCACGUUGCUGCUAGUAAAGGCCUCAUAAAUAGUCUAAAUGUUUUCCUGGAUAACAGUGUCGAUGUAAAGGCUGUAGAUGCUGCCGGUAAAACAGCUUUGCAUCUGGCUGCAGGAGGCGGUCAUUCCAUGUGUGUGCAGAGGCUACUGCAGUGUAAAUGUCCUGUAGACAGCACAGACCUGCAGGGACGUACAGCUUUGCAUGAUGCAGCAUAUGUAGGCUGCAGAGCCGUCAUAAAAAUGCUCUGUGACAGUGGUGCAUGCAUUGAUGCUCUUGACGCAGAUAGUAAGUCUCCCCUAUUGCUAGCUGCUAAGAUGUGCCAACCAGGAGCAUGCCAGUUGUUAGUGCAGUAUGGGGCACACACUAUUCUUCGAGACAAGCAAAACAAGACAGCCCUAAUACUAGCUUGUGAGAACUCUUGUAAAGAAGCAGUGGAGAUUCUCCUGAAGACUAAGGCAGAUAUGUCAGCAUUGGACAUCUAUGGCCAUGAUGCUUACCACUAUUCCAGACUAAGUCAGAACCAAGACUUGAUUACACUUGUCAAACAUGCCUUGGAAGCAGGAACUAAAGCAAAAGAGAUUGCCUCCGUUCCACAGAAGAUCCAACAGGCUAAAUCCUCAUCAGGAGGGAUUGGUUGGACCAAAUCAGGAUCAGUCAAGAUGGAGAAAGUUUUAUCAGAACCAAUCACAGUCAGGCAUGCACAGUCUGCUCCUGCCCCAGUCAGAUCUGCUACCAUAUCAGAGGACUUGUUGCCUGGUGAGGUGGAGGCCCUUCGGAGAGAACUGAGAGAGUCACGGAAAAGGCAUGAAGCAGCAGAGGCGGAGGUGCACAGGCUGGAUACAGCAUUAGCCCUGCGUAGUCAGGAGUAUGAAGGACUGAGGAGGAACAGUGAGCAAGCCCUGCAUGUGGCCCACAGCCGGGCGUGGGAGCUGGAAGAGGCCCUGGGUGAGGUGCAGAGAAGAAUGGCAGGCUCUGAAAACCGAGUAAGGCAGAUGCAAGCUCAUCUAGUGGCUGUCCGGGAACACUUGGUGGAGGAGCUGAGAGUCCAGCUUCAAGAAGCCAAAGGCCAGCGGGAUGCUGCCGUAGCAGAACUGGGGAGGAUGCAGAUGGAGCUUGGCCAGAGUAUGCGGGAGGUGGAGCAGCAGAAGGAAAACCAGAGCCCCCUGAUGCAAGAACUUAGCCGGCUUUCCCAGAAGCUGCUCAGCAGAGAAGAGCAGAUAAACACAUUAAGGGCCAGGUUAGCAACGGUGGAGGCACAACAAGCUGAGAUGUUGUGUAAGGAGGCCCAAACCCCAUCAGAGUGGUGCCCCACCGAUGCGAAGAUUACGAUGACUGAUCUUAUCUCUGAGACCUGUGAACCGACCAUAGAUCUGGACAGAUAUAUCAGCAAGGCCGAGCAUGUGGCCGCAAUGAGCUUGCUAAACAAUGCACUGCAGCAGGCUGAAGUUAGGGCUGAGGAGGCUCUGCAGAAGUAUCAGUGUGCCCAGGAGGACAACCAGAGCCUGCUGAGAGAGCUCCAUGAACAGAAGACAGAACUGGACACCAUACAGGAGGCUCUGCAGGCCAGGUGUGUCCCUGUGGCCGUAGUGGAGGAAAAGGAGAAAGAGGUGGAACAGCUCAGACUGGCCCUUGAAGAGAUGGAGAAGAAAAAAAACCAGGGGAGUGUGAACAUCUCACCCAGAGAAGAGGAGGAUGCUCAGGUUCUAAGUGAAGAGUGCACUGUUGAAGUACCAAGUGAAAUACAGUAUAAUCAAGUAUCUUCUUCAAAUGAGAGUGACAGAGCAGAGUGUGAUGUCAUUAGGAUUGCAGAAAAAAAAAUUCAGCCAACUGAAAUCAGCAACAUAUCUGAGGACCAGCAGAGCACAUCCUCAGAUCAAUUUGCUAAGAAUUCAGAGUUGUUGGUGGAGCAUGCUGGACAGCGGGGGGCUCAGGGCAGCUUCUGUGAACACCCACAUUCAGACAGCUCCCUCCAGGCUCAGGUCAACAGGCUACAACAGCAGCUAGAGAUGAUCUCAGAAAUUUGGCCAGAAUUGAUCGGGGCCUGUCUCCCUCUGCGGAUCGCCGAGCAGGAAACCUGUGAGCUCGCUCAAUUUCCAGCUUAUGGCCUGCUAUGUCGGGCAGAUUCGGAAAGAGCCCAUCCAGGAACUUCAACAUAUCCUGUCCCUCUGCUCCCUCAGGAUCUCCUCUGUCCUCCAACUUCUCCCAGACACGCUCCAAAUCCACCUUUGUCGCUAGUGGAUUAGCAGAUAAUUCCCUCUCCAAUGACUCUAGGUAAUCGAUCCAUUUCUCGACAUCCUCCACUCUUGUAACCACAUCAGUGAACUUUGCCUCCAUGGCAGUGAUUGAUCGACGUAUCACAGCAAGAUCCUCCAAGUCAGCAACGACCUUCGUCAGCACUGCAGACAUGUUCAGCAUCUCUCGCCGCAUUUCCCGCACCUCCCCGAUUAAUUCAACUCCCAGGCUUGCGGCCUGCUUGGGGGCAUCAGCUUGAGCACGACUCUGAAAAGCAUUACAGACAUGUGCUUUCAAUAUAUCGAACACGACUACUCAGUGCAGCACAGGGUUUCAUGGAUGAAGAGGCCAGAGUGGCUCUGCUGCAGAUUGCCAAGAUGAGAGAGGAGUGUGUGUGUUGAGCA